rnacentral:lncRNA from 1 species
ACGUCGUGUCAUUGUUACACACUUGUUUAAAACAUAAAGAAAAUAUUAACAUGAACAGUAUAAAUAGUUUAUCUUUAUUACAAAAUAGUAAUAAUAAUCAGGAUGGUAUGAAGACUUGUAAUGCUGGUAAAACCAACAACUAUAGUAGUAUAUAUAACAAAAAUCAGACCCCCCAAAAAAUAAGCCCGCAAAAAAUAAAUGGUGCAAAUAUUGUUUCAUUAAAUGAUAUAAGAAGUAACCCAUUCCAUUAUUCGAAUCAAACAGAAAGUAAUUUUACAUUAAAUUUUCAAAAAACUAUUACAAACCAUCGUAUUAAUUACAUAAAUAUAAAAAAUAAAAUUUUAAAAUUAAAUACGAACAGUAGCGAAAAUAGUAACGUAAAUGACAACCGAGGUAGUAAGAGAUAUGUUACCAAAAGUGAGGAAACGAAAGGAAUAUACGUCAACAAGUGGAAAAAUUUGAAUAGUAAAAACUGUAACAGUUAUAAAAUAAAUGAACAAACGGAAAAGUAUAUAAACGGAAAAGCGAUGAAAAUACCUGAAAUGUUUGAUACAAAAAAACAAAAUUCUGUUAACGAUGAAUAUACAACUGUUAAUAUAUUAGAGAGUAAAUUUCUAAAAAUAGAUAACAGUCAAUUAAAAAAAGAAAAAAGAGAUUCUGUGAGAAGAUGUGAUAGUAGUGAUAAAAAUAAUUUGGAAUUGAAAAACGAAAAAAUCGAUAGGAGAGGAAAACUAAAUUAUAUACAUUUAUUUAAAACGAAAGAUACAAAAGAUACGAAAGAUACAAAAGAUACGAAAGAUACAAAAGAUACGAAAGAUACGAAAGAUACGAAAGAUAUGAAAGAUACGAAAGAUAUGAAAGAUACGAAAGAUAUGAAAGAUAUGAAAGAUACGAAAGAUAUAAAUAUGAACAAGGCAUGUCAUUUGAAUAAUUUUCUGAGUAAUAAUAUUGAUACUAAAUAUUGGGAUACAUUAGAUAAAAUAAAAAAACAAAAAAACAAAAAAACAUUAACUAAGACACUAACAAUAAAAGAAUAUGUGUCUAAUAAAAUAAAAGAAAUAAAAAAAAAAACACAUUGUUCAGAGCUGUAUCGAUUCAAAAUAUUUACAACACGAUUUUUAAAAGCGGCGCAGUUAAUCAUAGUAGUAGUAACAACAACAGUAACGAAAACAACAGUAAAAACAACAACAGUAAA